AGUCGAGCGGACAGAAGGGAGCUUGCUCCCGGAUGUUAGCGGCGGACGGGUGAGUAACACGUGGGUAACCUGCCUGUAAGACUGGGAUAACUCCGGGAAACCGGAGCUAAUACCGGAUAGUUCCUUGAACCGCAUGGUUCAAGGAUGAAAGACGGUUUCGGCUGUCACUUACAGAUGGACCCGCGGCGCAUUAGCUAGUUGGUGAGGUAACGGCUCACCAAGGCGACGAUGCGUAGCCGACCUGAGAGGGUGAUCGGCCACACUGGGACUGAGACACGGCCCAGACUCCUACGGGAGGCAGCAGUAGGGAAUCUUCCGCAAUGGACGAAAGUCUGACGGAGCAACGCCGCGUGAGUGAUGAAGGUUUUCGGAUCGUAAAGCUCUGUUGUUAGGGAAGAACAAGUGCAAGAGUAACUGCUUGCACCUUGACGGUACCUAACCAGAAAGCCACGGCUAACUACGUGCCAGCAGCCGCGGUAAUACGUAGGUGGCAAGCGUUGUCCGGAAUUAUUGGGCGUAAAGGGCUCGCAGGCGGUUUCUUAAGUCUGAUGUGAAAGCCCCCGGCUCAACCGGGGAGGGUCAUUGGAAACUGGGAAACUUGAGUGCAGAAGAGGAGAGUGGAAUUCCACGUGUAGCGGUGAAAUGCGUAGAGAUGUGGAGGAACACCAGUGGCGAAGGCGACUCUCUGGUCUGUAACUGACGCUGAGGAGCGAAAGCGUGGGGAGCGAACAGGAUUAGAUACCCUGGUAGUCCACGCCGUAAACGAUGAGUGCUAAGUGUUAGGGGGUUUCCGCCCCUUAGUGCUGCAGCUAACGCAUUAAGCACUCCGCCUGGGGAGUACGGUCGCAAGACUGAAACUCAAAGGAAUUGACGGGGGCCCGCACAAGCGGUGGAGCAUGUGGUUUAAUUCGAAGCAACGCGAAGAACCUUACCAGGUCUUGACAUCCUCUGACAACCCUAGAGAUAGGGCUUUCCCUUCGGGGACAGAGUGACAGGUGGUGCAUGGUUGUCGUCAGCUCGUGUCGUGAGAUGUUGGGUUAAGUCCCGCAACGAGCGCAACCCUUGAUCUUAGUUGCCAGCAUUCAGUUGGGCACUCUAAGGUGACUGCCGGUGACAAACCGGAGGAAGGUGGGGAUGACGUCAAAUCAUCAUGCCCCUUAUGACCUGGGCUACACACGUGCUACAAUGGACAGAACAAAGGGCUGCGAGACCGCAAGGUUUAGCCAAUCCCACAAAUCUGUUCUCAGUUCGGAUCGCAGUCUGCAACUCGACUGCGUGAAGCUGGAAUCGCUAGUAAUCGCG
rnacentral:rRNA from 1 species